rnacentral:rRNA from 1 species
AAUCAACGCUGGCGGCGUGCCUCAGACAUGCAAGUCGAACGAUUAAACUUUCCUUCGGGAAAGAUAUAAAGUGGCGCACGGGUGAGUAACACGUAGGUAAUCUACCUUUGAGUGGGGAAUAACAGUCGGAAACGACUGCUAAUACCGCAUAAUGCAGCGGCACCUUAUGGUGACAGUUGUUAAAGGAGCAAUCCGCUUAAAGAGGAGCCUGCGGCAGAUUAGCUAGUUGGUAAGGUAACGGCUUACCAAGGCAACGAUCUGUAUCCGACCUGAGAGG